UACGAAGGGGACUAGCGUUGUUCGGAAUCACUGGGCGUAAAGCGCACGUAGGCGGAUUUGUAAGUCAGGGGUGAAAUCCCGGGGCUCAACCUCGGAACUGCCUUUGAUACUGCAAAUCUCGAGUCCGGAAGAGGUAAGUGGAAUUCCUAGUGUAGAGGUGAAAUUCGUAGAUAUUAGGAAGAACACCAGUGGCGAAGGCGGCUCACUGGUCCGGUACUGACGCUGAGGUGCGAAAGCGUGGGGAGCAAACAGG
rnacentral:rRNA from 1 species